GGUUCCAUGGUGUAAUGGCGAGCACUCUGGACUCUGAAUCCAGCAAUCCGAGUUCAAGUCUCCGUGGAAUCU
rnacentral:tRNA from 2 species